AGCUAACCACUUUGAGCUUCAAUUUUUAUGACUAUGACAAAAGACAUACCUACCCUGAGGACUGUCAGGACAAGUGAGAUGAUACAGUGCUAGUCAACAACAUUGUUCACAAUCACAGUCCUCUGAGUGGCACCCCACAAUUGAGAAGGGCAGAGAAAUUAAUAAUUCAAUAAUGCUGAAAGUCAUCAAUGCAAUCAAAAUUCCCUGUAACAGAAGAAGAAAAAAAAAGAAGAGUCAUGAUGUUAGCAGGCAUUCUUGUACAUGUACCCUUAUGUAGGUGGUUUAAUUGCUGUAGAGAUAGACAUCUGGAUCUGUUUAUCAG